GAUAGACAUGCAUCAUAGUGUUGGGGAACGUAGUAAUUUCAAAAAUUUCCUAUGCACACGCAAGAUCAUGAUGAUGCACAACAACGAGAGGGGAGAGUGUUGUCUACGUACCCACACAGACCGACUGCGGAAGCGUUGACACAACAUAGAGGAAGUAGUCGUACAUCUUCCCGAUCCGACCGAUUCAAGCACCAUUACUCCGGCACCUCCGAGUUCUUAGCACACGUACAGCUCGAUGACAAUCCUCGGGCUCCGAUCUAGCAAAGCGUCGGGGAGGAGUUCCUCAGCACGACAGCGUGGUGACGAUCUUGAUGUUCUACCGUCGCAGGGCUUCGCCUAAGCACUGCUACAAUAUGAUCGAGGUGGAAUAUGGUGGCAGGGGGCACCGCACACGGCUAAGGAACAAUCUCAAGGAUCAACUUGUGUGUCCUAGGGUGCCCCCCUGCCUCCGUAUAUAAAGGAGCCAAGGGGGAGGGGGUGGCCGGCCAAGGAGGGUGCGCCAAGGGAGUCCUACUCCCUCUGGGAGUAGGAUCCCCCCCCCUCAAUCCUAGUUGGAAUAGGAUUCCUCGAGGGGGGAAAGAGAGAGAGGGGGCCGGCCACCUCUCCUUGUACUAAUAGGACUAGGGGAGUGGGGAGGCGCGCGGCCCACCUUGGGCUGCCCCUUUCUCCUUUCCACUAAAGCCCACUAAGGCCCAUAUAGCUCCCGGGGGGUUCCGGUAACCUCCCGGUACUCCCGUAAAAUCCCGAUUUCACCCGGAACACUUCCGAUAUCCAAACAUAGGCUUCCAAUAUAUCAAUCUUUAUGUCUCGACCAUUUCGAGACUCCUCGUCAUGUCCAUGAUCACAUCCGGGACUCCGAACAAUCUUCGGUACAUCAAAAUGCAUAAACUCAUAAUAACUGUCAUCGUAACGUUAAGCGUGCGGACCCUAUGGUUCGAGAACAAUGUAGACAUGACCGAGACAUGUCUCCGGUCAAUAACCAAUAGCGGGACCUGGAUGGCCAUAUUGGCUCCUACAUAUUGUACGAAGAUCUUUAUCGGUCAGACCGCAUAACAACAUAUGUUGUUCCCUUUGUCACCGGUAUGUUACUUGCCCGAGAUUCGAUCGUCAGUAUCCAAUACCUAGUUCAAUCUCGUUACCGGCAAGUCUCUUUACUUGUUCCGUAAUACAUCAUCCCGCAACUAACUCAUUAGUUGCAAUGCUUGCAAGGCUUAUGUGAUGUGCAUUACCGAGAGGGCCCAGAGAUACCUCUCCGACAAUUGGAGUGACAAAUCCUAUUCUCGAAAUACGCCAACCCAACAUCUACCAUUGGAGACACCUAUAGAGCUCCUUUAUAAUCACCCAGUUACGUUGUGACGUUUGGUAGCACACAAAGUGUUCCUCCGGCAAACGGGAGUUGCAUAAUCUCAUAGUCAUAGGAACAUGUAUAAGUCAUGAAGAAAGCAAUAGCAACAUACUAAACGAUCGGGUGCUAAGCUAAUAGAAUGGGCCAUGUCAAUCAGAUCAUUCACCUAAUGAUGUGAUCCCGUUAAUCAAAUAACAACUCUUUGUCCAUGGUUAGGAAACAUAACCAUCUUUGAUUAACGAGCUAGUCAAGUAGAGGCAUACUAGUGACACUCCGUUUGUCUAUGUAUUCACACAUGUAUUAUGUUUCCGGUUAAUACAAUUCUAACAUGAAUAAUAAAAAUUUAUCAUGAAAUAAGGAAAUAAAUAAUAACUUUAUUAUUGCCUCUAGGGCAUAUUUCCUUCAGUCUCCCACUUGCACUAGAGUCAAUAAUCUAGAUCACAUCACCUUGUGAUUAACAUCGAUAGUUCACAUCAUCAUGUGAUUAACAUCCAUAGUUCACAUCGCCAUGUGACCAACACCCAAAGGGUUUACUAGAUUCAGUAAUCUAGUUCACAUCGCUAUGUGAUUAACACGCAAGGAGUACUAAGGUGUGAUCAUGUUUUGCUUGUGAGAGAAUCUUAGUCAACGGGUCUAUCACAUUCAGAUCCGCAUGUAUUUUCUAUGUCAACAAUGCUCUGCAUGGAGCUACUCUAGCUAAUUGCUCCCACUUUCAAUAUGUAUCCAGAUUGAGACUUAGAGUCAUCCAGAUCUGUGUCAAAACUUGCAUCGACGUAACUUUUUAUGAUGAACCUUUUGUCACUUCCAUAAUCGAGAAAUAUUUCCUUAUUCCACUAAGGAUUAUUUUGACCAAUGUCCAGUGAUCUACUCUUAGAUCACUAUUGUACUCCCUUGUUUAACACAGUGUAGGGUAUACAAUAGAUCUGGGACACAUCAUGGCAUACUUUAUAGAACCUAUGGCUCAGGCAUAGGGAAUGACUUUCAUUCUCUUUCUAUCUUCUGCCGUGGUCGGGCUUUGAGUCUUACUCAAUUUCAUACCUUGUAACACAGCCAAGAACUCUUUCUUUGACUGUUCCAUUUUUGAACCACUUCAAAAUAUUGUCAAGGUAUGUACUCAUUGAAAAAACUUAUCAAGCGUCUUGAUCUAUCUCUAUAGAUUUUGAUGCUUAAUAUGUAAGCAGAUUCACCGAGGUCUUUUUCUGGAAAAUUCCUUUCAAACACUCCUUUAUGCUUUGCAGAAUAAUUCUACAUUAUUUCUGAUCAACAAUAUGUCAUUCACAUAUACUUUUCAGAAAUGUUGUAGUGCUCCCACUCACUUUCUUGUAAAUACAGGCUUCAUCGCAAGUCUGUAUAAAACUAUAUGCUUUGAUCAACUUAUCAAAGCGUAUAUUCCAACUCGGAGAUGCUUGCACCAGUCCAUAGAUGGAUCGCUGGAGCUUGCAUAUUUUUUUAGCACCUUUAGGAUUGACAAAACCUUCUGGUUGUAUCAUAUACAACUCUUCUUUAAUAAAUCUAUUAAGGAAUGCAUUUUUGUUUAUCCAUUUGCCAGAUUUCAUAAAAUGCAGCAAUUGCUAACAUGAUUCGGACAGACUUAAGCAUAGAUACAAGUGAGAAAAUCUCAUCGUAGUCAACACCUUGAACUUGUCGAAAACCUUUUGCGACAAUUCUAGCUUUGUAGAUAGUAACACUACUAUCAGCGUCCGUCUUCCUCUUGAAGAUCCAUUUAUUCUCAAUUGCUUGCCGAUCAUCGGGCAAGUCAACCAAAGUCCAUACUUUGUUCUCAUACAUGGAUCCCAUCUCAGAUUUCAUGGCCUCAAGCCAUUUUGCGGAAUCUGGGCUCACCAUCGCUUCUUCAUAGUUCGUAGGUUCAUCAUGGUCAAGUUGCAUGACCUCUAGAACAGGAUUACCGUACCACUCUAGUGCGGAUCUCUCUUUGGUUUACCUACGAGAUUCGGAAGUAACUUGAUCUGAAGUUACAUGAUCAUCAUCAUUAGCUUCCUCACUAAUUGGUGUAGUAGUCACAGGAACAGAUUUCUGUGAUGAACUACUUUCCAAUAAGGGAGAAGGUACAAUUACCUUAUCAAGUUCUACUUUCCUCCCACUCACUUCUUUCGAGAGAACCUCCUUCUCUAGAAAGGAUCCAUUCUUAGCACCAAGUGUCUUGCCUUUGGAUCUAUGAUAGAAGGUGUACCCAACAGUAACUUUUUGGGUAUCCUAUGAAGACACACUUUUUCGAUUUGGGUUUGAGCUUAUCAGGAUGAAAACUUUUUCACAUAAGCAUUGUAACCCCAAACUUUAAGAAACAACAACUUUGGUUUCUUGCCAAACCAUAGUUCAUACGGUGUCGUCUCAACAGAUUUAGAUGGUGCCCUUUUAACGUGAAUGCAGCUAUCUCUAAUGCAUAACCCCAAAACGAUAGUGGUAGAUCGGUAAGAGACAUCAUAGAUUGCACUAUAUCCAAUAAAGCACGGUUAUGACGUUCGGACACACCAUUAUGCUGUGGUGUUCCAUGUGGCAUGAGUUUGUGAAACUAUUCCACAUUGUUAUAAUUGAAGACCAAACACGUAACUCAAAUAUUUGUCUCCACGAUCAGAUCGUAGAAACUUUAUUUUCUUGUCACGAUGAUUAUCCACUUCACUCUGAAAUUCUUUGAACUUUUCAAAUGUUUCAGACUUAUGUUUCAUCAAGCAGAUAUACCCAUAUCUGCUCAAAUCAUAUGUGAAUGUCAGAAAAUAACGAUACCCGCCGCGAGCUUCAACACUCAUCGGAUCGCAUACAUCAGUAUGUAUUAUUUCCAAUAAGUCAGUUGCUCGCUCCGGAGAACGGAGUCUUAGUCAUCUUGCCCAUGAGGCAUGGUUCGCAAGCAUCAAGUGAUUCCAAAAUCCCAUCAGCAUGGAGUUUCUUCAUGCGCUUUACACCAAUUUGACCUAAACGGCAGUGCCACAAAUAAGUUGCACUAUCAUUAUUAACUUUGCAUCUUUUGGUUUCAAUAUUAUGAUUAUGUGUAUCACUACGAUCGAGAUCCAACGAACUAUUUUCAUUGGGUGUGUAACCAUAUAAGGUUUUAUUCAUGUAAACAGAACAACAAUUUAUUCUUUUACUUAAAUGAAUAACCGUAUUAAAAUAAACAUGAUCAAAUCAUAUUCAUGCUUAACGCAAACACCAAAUAACACUUAUUCAGGUUCAACACUAAUCCCGAAAGUAUAGGGAGUGUGCGAUGAUGAUCAUAUCAAUCUUGGAACCACUUCCAACACACAUCGUCACUUUACCCUUAACUAGUCUCUGUUUAUUCUGCAACUCCAGUUUCGAGUUACUAAUCUUAGCAACUGAACUAGUAUCAAAUACUGAGGGGUUGCUAUAAACACUAGUAAAGUACACAUCAAUAACAUGUAUAUCAAAUAUACUUAUGUUCACUUUGCCAUCCUUCUUAUCUGCCAAUCACUUGGGGUAGUUCCGCUUCCAGUGACCAGUCCCUUUGCAGUAGAAACACUUAGUCUCAGGCUUAGGGCCAGACUUGGGCUUCUUCACUUGAGCAGCAACUUGCUUUCUGUUCUUAUUGAAGUUCCCCUUCUUCCCUCUGCCCUUUUCUUGAAACUAGUGGUCUUGUCUACCAUCAACACUUGAUGUUUUUCUCGAUUUCUACCUUCGUCAAUUUCCGCAUUACGAAGAGCUUGGGAAUCGUUUCCGUUAUCCCUUGCAUAUCAUAGUUCAUCACAAAGUUCUACUAACUUGGUGAUGGUGACUAGAGAAUUCUGUCAAUCACUAUCUUAUCUGGAAUAUUAACUCCCACUUGAUUCAAGCGAUUGUUGUACUCAGACAAUCUGGGCACAUGCUCACUAGUUGAGUGAUUCUCCUCCAUCUUUUUGCUAUAGAACUUGUUUGAGACUUUCAUAUCUCUCAACUCGGGUAUUUGCUUGAAAUAUUAACUUCAACUCCUGGAACAUCUCAUAUGCUCCAUGACGUUCAAAACGUCUUUGAAGUCCCGAUUCUAAGCCAUUAAGCAUGGUGCACUAAACUAUCAAGUAGUCAUCAUAUUGAGCUAGCCAAACGUUCAUAACGUCUGCAUCUGCUCCUGCAAUAGGUCCGUCACCUAGCGGUGCAUCAUGGACAUAAUUCUUCUGUGCAGCAAUGAGGAUAAACCUCAGAUCACGGAUCCAAUCCGCAUCAUUGCUACUAACAUCUUUCAACACAAUUUUUCUCUAGGAACAUAUCAAAAUAAACAUAUGAAAGCAAUAACGCGAGCCAUUGAGCUACAACAUAAUUUGCAAAAUACUACCAGGACUAAGUUCAUGAUAAAUUUAAGUUCAAUUAAUCAUAUUACUUAAGAACUCCCACUUAGAUAGACAUCCCUCUAAUCCUCUAAGUGAUCACGUGAUCCAAAUCAACUAAACCAUAACCGAUCAUCAUGUGAAAUGGAGUAGUUUUCAAUGGUGAACAUUGUUAUGUUGAUCAUAUCUACUAUAUGAUUCACGCUCGACCUUUCGGUCUCUGUGUUCCGAGGCCAUAUCUGCAUAUUCUAGGCUCGUCAAGUUUAACCCGAGUAUUCUGCGUGUGCAAAACUGGCUUGCACCCAUUGUAGAUGGACGUAGAGCUUAUCACACCCGAUCAUCACGUGGUGUCUGGGCACGACAAACUUUGGCAACGGUGCAUACUCAGGGAGAACACUUCUUGAUAAUUAGUGAGAGAUCAUCUUAUAAUGCUACCGUCCAACUAAGCAAAAUAAGAUGUAUAAAAGAUAAACAUCACAUGCAAUCAAAAUAUGUGACAUGAUAUGGCCAUCAUCAUCUUGCGCCUUUGAUCUCCAUCUCCGAAGUACUGUCAUGAUCUCUAUCGUCACCGGCAUGACACCAUGAUCUCCAUCAUCUUGAUCUAUAUCAAUGUGUCAUCGCACGGUCGUCUCGCCAACUAUUGCUCUUGCAACUAUUGCUAUCGCAUAGUGAUAAAGUAAAGCAAUUAUUUGGCGCUUGCAUAUUAUGCAAUAAAGAGACAACCAUAAGGCUUUUGCCAGUUGCCGAUAACUUUAACAAAACAAGAUCAUCUCAUACAACAACUUAUUUCUCAUCACGUUUAGACCAUAUCACAUCACAACAUGCCCUGCAAAAACAAGUUAGACGUCCUCUACUUUGUUGUUGCAAGUUUUACGUGGCUGCUACGGGCUUAAGCAAGAACCAAUCUCACCUACGCAUCAAAACCACAACGAUAGUUUGUCAAUUUGACUCCGGUUUAAGAUUCGCAAGGACCGGGCGUAGCCAUACUCGGUUCAACUAAAGUUGGAGAGACAGUCGCCCGUAAGCCACCUAUGUGCAAAGCACGUCGGGGGAACCGGUCUCGCGUAAGCAUACGCGUAAUGUUGGUCCGGGUCGUCUCGUCCAACAAUACCGCUGAACCAAAGUAUGACAUGCUGGUAGGCAGUAUGACUUAUAUCGCCCACAACUCACUUGUGUUCUACUCGUGCAUAUAACAUCAACAUAUAAAACCUGGCUCGGAUGCCACUGUUGGGGAACGUAGUAAUUUCAAAAAUUUCCUACGCACACGCAAGAUCAUGAUGAUGCACAGCAACGAGAGGGGAGAGUGUUGUCUACGUACCCACGUAGACCGACUGCGGAAGCGUUGACACAACGUAGAGGAAGUAGUCGUACGUCUUCCCGAUCCAACCGAUCCAAGCACCGUUACUCUGGCACCUCCGAGUUCUUAGCACACGUACAGCUCGAUGACAAUCCCCGGGCUCCGAUCCAGCAAAGCAUCGGGGAGGAGUUCCGUCAUCACGACGGCGUGGUGAUGAUCUUGAUGUUCUACCGUCGCAGGGCUUCGCCUAAGCACCGCUACAAUAUGAUCGAGGUGGAAUAUGGUGGCAGGGGGCACCGCACACGGCUAAGGAAGGAUCUCAAGGAUCAACUUGUGUGUCCUAGGGUGCCCCCUGCCUCCGUAUAUAAAGGAGCCAAGGGGGAGGGGGCGGCCGGCCAAGGAGGGCGCGCCAAGGGAAUUCUACUCCCUCUAGGAGUAGGAUUCCCCCCCAAUCCUAGUUGGAAUAAGAUUCCUCGAGGGCGGAAAGAGAGAGAGGGGGCCGGCCACCUCUCGUUGUCCUAAUAGGACCAGGGGAGGGGGAAGGCACGCGGCCCACCUUGGGCUGCCCCUUUCUCCUUUCCACUAAAGCCCACUAAGGCCCAUAUAGCUCCCGGGGCUUCCGGUAACCUCCCAGUACUCAGGUAAAAUCCUGAUUUCACCUGGAACACUUCCGAUAUCCAAACAUAGGCUUCCAAUAUAUCAAUCUUUAUGUCUCGACCAUUUCGAGACUCCUCGCCAUGUCCAUGAUCACAUCCGGGACUCCGAACAAUCUUCGGUACAUCAAAAUGCAUAAACUCAUAAUAACUGUCAUCGUAACAUUAAGCGUGCGGACCCUAUGGUUCGAGAACAAUGUAGACAUGACCAAGACACGUCUCCGGUCAAUAACCAAUAGCGGGACCUGGAUGCCCAUAUUGGCUCCUACAUAUUCUACGAAGAUCUUUAUCGGUCAGACCGCAUAACAACAUACGUUGUUCCCUUUGUCAUCGGUAUGUUACUUGCCCGAGAUUCGAUCGUCGAUAUCCAAUACCUAGUUCAAUCUCGUUACCAGCAAGUCUCUUUACUCGUUCCGUAAUACAUCAUCCAGCAACUAAAUCAUUAGUUGCAAGGCUUGCAAGGCUUAUGUGAUGUGCAUUACCGAGAGGGCCCAGAGAUACCUCUUCGACAAUCGGAGUGACAAAUCCUAUUCUCGAAAUACGCCAACCCAACAUCUACCUUUGGAGACACCUGUAGAGCUCCUUUAUAAUCACCCAGUUACGUUGUGACGUUUGGUAGCACACAAAGUGUUCCUCCGGCAAACGGGAGUUGCAUAAUCUCAUAGUCAUAGGAACAUGUAUAAGUCAUGAAGAAAGCAAUAGCAACAUACUAAACGAUCGGGUGCUAAGCUAAUGGAAUGGGUCAUGUCAAUCAGAUCAUUCACCUAAUGAUGUGAUCCCGUUAAUCAAAUAACAACUCUUUGUCCAUGGUUAGGAAACAUAAAUAUCUUUGAUUAACGAGCUAGUCAAGUAGAGGCAUACUAGUGACACUCUGUUUGUCUAUGUAUUCACACAUGUAUUAUGUUUCCGGUUAAUACAAUUCUAGCAUGAAUAAUAAACAUUUAUCAUGAAAUAAGGAAAUAAAUAAUAACUUUAUUAUUGCCUCUAGGGCAUAUUUCCUUCACAUAGGCAGUACUUGUUUCUAAGUUAGCUAAGCAUAAUCUGUUGUUUAAUCCAAAUUGUGUUAUCAAAAGUUGCGCAGAAUGUGUUCUGGUCUUGCUUCAUGGAUCAGUUUUCUCAUUAACUACUGUACCUGGACAACAGUUUGCUCCACUAAUGUUAUAUCUCUCUCAUUGUAGGAUGGCAAGUUGUGGCAGCUGGAGCAUGUCGCAUAAGAGAGAGCAAUGAAAUCCAUUGUACUGUUCCGUUAAAAAAAAGUACAUUGUGUUGUUAUGAUAGUAGCAGAUGUUCCAUCAUUUUCUUAUUGUAUAUUCCUGUGUAAGGAAUUGUAUUCCUGAGAUGAUUUUUUGUGUUAUGUAAACCUGGGAGAUAUUUUCUUUCUGUGUUAUGUAAACCUGUGAGUUUUCCUAAUUUGAAUGAAAUAAUGUUGGAUGUAUGUGUGUGAUUGGGAUAAAGUCUGCUUGGGCCAAACUGGACAAAUAAUUGGGCUAAAACAGGCCACAUACCAACAAGCAUCGAACAAUUUCAAAAAUGAAAUGAAAAGUCUUACAGAAAAAAGAAAUGGACUGCAAAAAGCUCGAGGGCCAAAAAAAUUGCAUGAAUCUAAAAAACGAACAAGGCUGAAUUGUUGGGCUUGGCCCAUGAAGCCGAUAAAAAUUGACAGAAAAAAUAUAUAAAAAGGCCGAAUUGUUGGGCUCGGCCCAUGUAAAACGUCAAAUCGGACCGGGCUGAAUCUUGUGCCACAUCAGCUUGCCACGCUGGAUGCCUACGUGGCCUGCGGAGGUUGCUAGUGACCAAAACAAAUCAGUAGGCACAUUCUGGUCGUAAAUGUCCACGACCUUCUCACAGAGAAGGUCGUUAAUUUUAGAUUACGACCGCCAGCUUUUGACCUUCUGUUGUUGGUCAAAAAAAGGUCGCAAAUGAAAAACAAUGACCUUUCAGUGACCAAUAGUCAAGGUCACAAGUUGACAUAUUUGUUUUAGUGCAUAAUCAUAGAAUGCGGCAAUUUCUAACAUGAUUCGGAUGGAAUUUAGCUUCGCUACGGGUGAGAAACUCUCAUCGUAGUGAACUCCUUGAACUUGUCGAUAACCCUUAGCGACAAGCCGAGCCUUAUAGAUGGUCACAUUACCAUCCGUGUUUGUCUUCUUCUAUCUCGGAUUUCAAAGCUUCCAGCCAUUUGUCGGAAUCUGGGCCCACCAUCGCUUCUUCAUAGUUUGAAGGUUCACCAUUGUCUAACAACAUGAUUUCCAGGACAGGGUUGUCGUACAACUCUGGUGCGGAACGUGUCCUUGUGGACCUACGAAGUUCAGUAGCAACUUGAUCUGAAGUUUCAUGAUCAUCAUCAUUAACUUCCUCUCUAGUCGGUGCAGGCACCUCAGGAACAUUUUCUUGAGCUGCACCACUCUUCGUUUCAAGAGGCAAUACUUCAUCAAGUUCUACUUUCCUCCCACUUACUUCUUUCGAGAGAAACUCUUUCUCUAGAAAGGAUCCAUUCUCGGCAACAAAGAUCUUGCCUUCGGAUCUGAGGUAGAAGGUAUACCCAAUAGUUUCUUUAGGGUAUCCUAUGAAGACGCAUUUUUCCGAUUUGGGUUUGAGCUUUUCAGGUUGAAGUUUCUUGACAUAAGCAUCGCAUCCCCAAACUUUCAGAAACGACAACUUAGGUUUCUUACCAAACCACAAUUCAUACGGUGUCGUCUCAACGGAUUUCGACGGAGCCCCAUUUAAAGUGAAUGCGGCAGCCUCUAUAGCAUAACCCCAAAAUGACAGCGGUAGAUCGGUAAGAGACAUCAUAGAUCGUACCAUAUCCAAUAGAGUGCGAUUACGACAUUCGGACACACCAUUACACUGAGGUGUUCCAGGUGGCGUGAGUUGUGAAAAAUUCCGCAUUUUCUUAAGUGCGUGCCAAAUUCGUGACUCAAAUAUUCUCCCCCAUGAUCUGAUUGUAAGAACUUGAUUUUCCCGUCACGUUGAUUCUCAACCUCACUCUGAAAUUCCUUGAACUUUUCAAAGGUCUCAGACUUUUGUUUCAUUAAGUAGACAUACCCAUAUCUACUCAAGUCAUCCGUGAGGGUGAGAACAUAACGAUAGCCUCCGCGAGCCUCAACACUCAUUGGACCGCACAUAUCAGUAUGUAUGAUUUCCAAUAAGUUUGUUGCUCGCUCCAUUGUUCCGGAGAAUGGAGUCUUGGUCAUUUUGCCCAUGAGGCAUGGUUCGCACGUGUCAAAUGAUUCAUAAUCAAGAGACUCCAAAAGUCCAUCUGCAUGGAGUUUCUUCAUGCGUUUGACACCAAUGUGACUAAGGCGGCAGUGCCACAAGUAUGUUGACCUAUCAUUAUCAACCUUACAUAUUUUGGAAUUCAGACUAUGAAUAUGUGUAACAUCACGUUCAAGAUUAAAUAAGAAUAAACCAUUGACCAGCGGGGCACGACCAUAAAACAUGUCUCUCAUAUAAAUAGAACAACCAUCAUUCUCAGACUUAAAUGAGUAGCCAUCUCGCAUUAAACGAUAUCUAGAUACAAUGAUCAUGCUCAAAGCUGGUACUAAAUAACAAUUAUUGAGGUUUAAACUAAUCCCAUAGGUAAAUCACUACGGGAAACAGGAGAUUUGCCGUCAGCAUUUCGUUGGGGCAGACGGCAAAGAAAGGGUUUGUCGUGAUCAACAGACGGCAAAGAAAAAGUAACGGUAAAAUAGACUUUGCCGUCUGCAAAUAAACUACAAACGGCAAAGAGCUCACUUUGCCGUCUGCAAAAAAAUACAGACGGCAAAGAGCUCACUUUGCCAUCUGUAAUAUAAAAUGCAGACGGCAAAUAUCUUUAGCAUCUGUAUUUUUUUACAGACAGCAAAGUGAGCUCUUUGCCGUCUGUAAUAAAAAUUACAGACGGCAAAGAGAAAGCAUACCACGCGGAUCGAUGAUGUGGCAGCAUCUCAACCCACACAGCCCCGGGCACAAUCGCAGCCCACCCCAACACUAUCCCAUGCCCGACCCCACCAUGCUCUCUCUCCCUUAUCCCGCACGCUCUCUCCCUUAUCCGCACGAUCUCUCUCUCUCUCUCUCUCGUACCUGUCUCUCUCUCUCUCUGACGCACGCACGUAGCCCACCCCCACCACCUCGCCCGCGUCCCGAUCCACUCGCGGUGCCACCAGCCGCGGCUCCUCCAGCCGGCCAACCCUCUGCCACCGCUAGCACACCUUCGUCCUCCACUUCAUGUGCUCCGCCUCCUCGGUUUACCUCCUUCCCCUUGCUGUGGGCAGGGCGGCCGGCGCGGGAGGCGGCUUCAGCUCCUCCAGCAGGGCGGUCGGCGCGAGCCAGGCUUGGCCGGUGCGGGCAGAGCGGCCGGCACGGGAGGCUGCUGCAACUUCUCAAGCGGGGCGGGCGGCGCGAGUAGGACAUGGCCGGUGCGGGCAGAGCGGCCGGCGUGGGAGGCUGCUGUGAGCGACGCACGGGCGGGCAGCGGCCGUGCGGCGCGAGCAGGGCAUGGCCGGUGUGGGAGGCCGCUGCGGGUAGGGGAACAGCUCCGGGUGGUGCUUCGGGCCGGCGUGGGCAGAGCGGACAGUGUCUCCUCCGUUCGGCUCCAAUUGGUGCUGCGGGUCAGCGUGGUCAGGGCAAGGCGGUGGCUAUGUGUCACGACCGGUUUCUCCGGACAUUGAUUUCCAGAAAAUGGCCGUCGUGCUCACCAGCCCCAGGAUUACUGUUAUCUGAUGAGGCACCAACUUGAUACAGAAAUUCCAAGCAAAAAUACAAAAUAUGUAGUACAAGACCAUUGUGGCCUAUGAGUACGUCAAAUGGUUUCUAGUGGUUGAUGGCGGAAGCGGUUUGUGGGUCAUCAAUGUCUAUGGGACUCCAUUUCCCGCAGGAACAGCUGACCAGGUUAACUCCUAUCUUCGCGAGGCUGCUAUCACCGUUGCUUAGUUUCCGAGGAUGUCACCGCAACGCUCCUCUCCAAGCAGAAAUCUGGCCAAGACAAUAGCCAGGGACAAGCCAAUGAGUACUUUGAAUGUACUCGCAAACAUUAAGAACACAGGUAUAAUAUAAUUGAUAAUCAUGCAUUGAAAAAUUCCAUGAUCACAUCGUCAGUCAUAAAUAAAGCAUCUUUUAUGCAUGCAAGCAGGUUAUUUUUAUGCAACAUGAAUAAGCAGUAAUAGAGUGGGAAUAAAAUGCCGCAGUCGGGCGUUUAAGCGACACCACAUAAAGGGCUUUAAAAGAAAUGCCACAGUCGGGCGUCUGAGCGACACCACAUAAAGGGCUUUAAAAGAAAUGCCACAGUAGGGUGUCUGAGCGACACCACAUAAAGGGCUUAUAAGAGAAAUGCCACAGUCGGGCAUCUGAGCGACACCACAUAAAGGGCUUAUAAGAGAAAUGCCACAGUCGGGCAUCUGAGCGACACCACAUAAAGGGCUUUAAAAGAAAUGCCACAGUCGGGCGUCUGGGCGACACCACAUAAAGGGCUUUAAAAGAAAUGCCACAGUCGGGCGUCUGGGCGACACCGCAUAAAGGUCUUAUAAGAGAAAUGCCACAGUCGGGCGUCUCGCGACACCACAUAAAGGGCUUAUAAAAUAAAUAAUCACAAUGAAUAUCCAGGAGGUAGAACCAUCCCAGGGAUACUCGAUAAUACAGAUAAUGCAACGUGUUAGUCCAUCACAAAAUAAUAAUCAUGGUCCUCACAAGUAACUAGUCGGUAUCCAAGUGUGGUUUAACAAUAUCUCCUCCGAAGACCGACACUAAGACCAACACUUGACCCAUCCCAGACUGUAAUCCUUAACCAUGGACACGGCUAUUGGAAUAGGUUUAAUCUCUGCAGAGGGUGUACUCUUUACCCACGAGUAACGGAUUCCUUUAGUCCAGCGGGACUAAUUCCGUCUACGGCCUUUUAGUUGAAAACACGCCUAACUUGCACACACCAGCUUAACUCAUCGGUGUUUGGAAUCACCCACAACACUUGUUAAGCAAAACUCUAAGUGGGGAGGCUACAACCUCGCGUAGCAUGGGAUCAAAUUUAUAUCGCGCGCUCUAAGGGGUGGCCUCCCCUCUCGGUCCCAACCGGAAACACCCAUGCCCCCGGACCAGGUGGCCUGCCUACCGGCUACAACCGGUAUCUUCCACCAUGGCCUCUCUGUACGGUGUGUGCUUGAAAGGGGUUGACGACUUACUGAACCGUACCCUACCUGCGGCAGGGACAAGUGGUAGUACAAAACAAGUAUGGAGGUUACUGGAACAAAACUCGAUCUACGGUCGACUCAGGAGGUUUACAAAUUACCUGCAUGACAUGUAUAUCAAAUAUAUUUCAACCGACGAAAUCACCACCCAUUAUACCUUACUAUGCCAUACCGGACAUAACCGUCCCGACGGGGACCGGCGACAAGCUCACUCCUACCCAAGGCAGAGGCUUUCCCGGAUUCCUUUCCGGCAUGCAUGCAAGGCACAUGAGGAUGAUUACCAUCACAAGUAUAUUCAUUUCCAACAGCAAGGAAAUCACUAUAUGCAUUCAUGUAAAUGAUCAUAUCACAUGAAAUAACAAGUUCUCCGAUAUAAGGUGGUGUUAUAAACGUGUCAACUAACACACCAAAAAAUAUUAUUCCGGGGUUCAGAAUGCUUGCCUUCAAUGGUGUGGAAAGGCAGGGUGCACUCCAAAACUUUUGAAAGCUUUCUUCUCUUCCAAAAUCCUAUUUUCAAAAAUAUGCAAAUAACACAUAUUUCAAAAACAGUACAAAAAAGUUGUUUGGAAAAUUUUCAAAUAAAUCUUAAAAUAAACUAGACAGAAUUUGAGAGAUGUAGGAAAAAGAAUCAAUUCAUUUGGAGUUAUAUUUAAAAAGUUAAGCUCAGUCAAAGUUUUGGUCAAAAUCUGUUAUUUAAAAUUAAAACAGAAAAAAGAAAAAUGUUUCGAAUAUACGUACACGUCGAAGGCGUACUCUGGAAAUACGCCUCCACUUAUCCAGCAUGGACUGCGCGUGGGUCACCGACAGUGGGCCCGCCUGGCCCGCUGGUCAGGUUUGACUGGUCCACGCGCGCGUCGUCUCUCCCUGAGCGAACAGAGGCGGAGCUCCGGCGAGGCUCGCCGGCGAAUGGCGGCGUCCCUCGGUGAUCUGAGCGCAUGGGCGUGCUCAGGAGGUCGAGACGAACUCGGGGGUACCCGCCAUGGUCACCGACGUGGACGGAGUUGCCGGCGACGAGCUUCGCGGCGGAGAUGGCUUCGGGGGCGAAGUGAGUUUGGGGCUGCGGUGGUUCCCGAUCAAAAUCGAGCAGGGGAACGAGUUCAUAGGAGGAUGAGAAGGUUCCUGGUGAAGAGAACGGAGAGGGGGAGGCCCUGGUGGUGCCGGAAUGGCCGGGGCAGUGGCGGCUGCUGCGGUUGCCGGAGAUGGGGAAGGAGACCUCCCCGGGUCGAAUGCGAGCUAUGGGAGCGCCAUUGGGGUGGCCUGAGGUUGCCUGCGUGCUCGGGGGAGUUCGGGGACGUCCUUUUCUAGUGCGACGAGGUCGGUUCCGCGGCGGUGGAUGAGGAUGCCGGCAAACCGCCUCUCUGUAGCUUGUAGGGCGACGUGGAGGCGACGAGAGCUAGCCGACGAGCGAGGAGAUAAGCUCGUGCGGCUACCAGGGGCAGGUGGCGACCCGGGGUGGCUUGGGCGGCGCUGCCCAUGGCGGUGGCGGAUGCGGCCGCGGGCAUGCCGCCAAGCGGCUCUGACGGCGGUGCUGCAGGGCACCAGGGCCUGCUUGGCGUGUUGCGGUGAGAGGGAGAGUGUGUGGCGCGGCUCUCUGGUGCGGGAAAAACUAGGGGCACGACGUGGCGACUCGGGCGCGGCACGUGCAAAACGCGCGCUCUGCUCGCGGCCAGAGCACACACUGAACGUGCUCGACAAAAUGCUAAAGCAUGCUAGAGGUCGCGGUUGAGGCUGGGAAGAAACAAGGCUAGGUUAGGGUUAGUUAGAGGGUGAAUGGACCUGGUGGUUAGGCCAGGUGGCCAAGUUCACAAUGUAAACUUGAGUCCAUGCCAAAUCUGGCUAUGCACACAGGGUGUUUGUCAAAAUGCCAAGGGCAUCUAGGCAAUACUUGGGGUGGCCAAAAUCUCCAGAUCAAGGUCUCCUUAGAUGCAAGAGAGAGUGGUGAGGUCAUUUGGACAAAAGGAGAAACUUGCUAGUGCAAGUUUUGCUGAACUUCAAUUCUGGACAGGAGAUAGAUGGCAUCAUUUCAUGAACUAAAAAUGAUCCAAUAAGUGCAUGCUCCUGGACUUAGGGGUUUUGCAGGGAGGACUAUAAGUAUGAAAAAGAAUCAAGAGCUAAAGAGCAAGCAAGAAUAGGGUUGUUGUACAAACCAUCAUGUUGGACCGGAAUGGAGAUGAGGUUGUUUCACUCAAAAUUUUCAAAUAAAAUCACUGGGUUUUUGCAUAAAGUUGAAUCAUAUGCUACUACCAACAUCCCAUAAUUUUGGUGGAGGCCAGAAAGAAAUAUUUAAAAGGGUUGUAGUGCAAAAUUGCACUCUGGACCAGAGAAGAAAAAAUGAUGCAGAGCUCAAAAUAUUACAUGAAUAAAAGAUAUUUUUGUAUAGAAGUGAUUUAAAAACAUCACAUGACAUCUCCAAAUUUUGGUUGGAAUUUUAGGUGAAUUUAUCAAAUGGUUGUAGUUAAAUUAUGGCCAUAUAACCUUGGAAAACCAUUUUUCAAGAAAAUAAAGAUUAAGCAAAUUAAUUAUGUAAUUAGUUAUACUGAUAAAAGAAAAGUUUUUCUUGAGAGGUUAAACAAGUCCAAUAACAUAUUCGAAAUGUUUUCAUUUUAGGGGAAAACUCAAUGAUAAUAAGAAAGGAAAUGUUUAAAAAAAUCAAAAGGGAGUCCAAAAAUCAAAGUUUUAAUUCCUGGCAGAAAUUUUAAUUUAAUAAAACAAGGCCAAAAUUUUGGGGUGUCACAACACUACCCCCCUUAAGAAAAAUCUCAUCCUUGAGAUUUGUUAAAAGCUGUUUUAAGAAAAACUAUACGCAAUAAAAAUGUGGCUACAGUGAGAGGGCAAUAAGUGGUGAAAAACCACAGUGUGAAUACUGGUGCUGCGUGGAAAAAUCUACGGUUCGGGACAAAAACGUGAGAUUUCUACGUCGGACGUAGUAAAUUUAGAAUAAAUUCUAAAUCUUAUAAUAUGCUGGUCGUACCCGAGAGCACAGUGCUCUCUCUGGCCGACAGGUGGACCCGGGGCCCACUGUCAGCCUCUUCUUCUCCCUCUGGUUCUCUCUUCUUCCUCUCUCCCGCGCACUUUCCCGCGCUUUCUCCACCGGCGAUGUCUAGCGCGUAGGGCAUCUAGGCCGUACCGCGGUAGUGCGCGGCGUGCUAGCUGCCGGUGCAGCGUGCACUCACCUCGCGGGCCAGCGCGCUGUCGGCACUGCUCGCGGAUUCGUCUCCGAACACCGGCGAUCGGCGACGAGCGGCGUUGGUGGACUUCGCCCAUCGUACACCGAGCUCGAGCUAUAAAACGGCCGGGGUGCCCCUCUCUUCUUCCUCACACCUGGCCUCACUUCUCCUCCUCCUUCUUCCUCCAUUACUUCUUACAAAAGCUCGGGUUAGGCUCUAAUGGCGGAGGCGAUGCCGGACUGGUUUGCGGUCCUGAUAUGCGGAGGGUUGGCGACACUACUGGGGCUCUCCGUGCUCCUGUGCGUGAUGAUCCUCGACGAUCGUCGCGAAGCUGCUGCUCGGGUGUUGGCUCUCCGCGGUGGUGGUGAUCACGAGGAGUAGAUGGGGUGUGCCGGGUGCUAACUGUUGUUAGGGGGUGAUUAGCUGGAUGUAACACCGUUGCAAAGUUUUGCAAACAGUGUAUGCGUUCGAAUGAUUAUGGUUGUGAGUCUGCUGCCGUGGUGCUGUGUGAAAUUAAAUAAUCCACGCCGUGAGAAGGUGCAGAUGUAGCAACUCAGGGAAAAGAAAUCUCACUCCAGGAUUUUGCGAGGGAAAAACAGUUAAUUUAAAGGAGCAUAAACCACAACAAAAACUACACACAUUAGUAGAAGACAAAUAAUUGACUCGUCGUACAAACUUAGGGUAUCACGCAUAAGUCACACACAUAAAUAAAUGUUGCAAUAAUGAACACCGCAUCGACGUCUAAAAUGGAAACGGUAACUAGGCGGGGUCCCUAGAAAACGUCUCUGGUACUGGGAUACACUCCUCUUCUAUCAGGGGAAGUGGAUUGACCUGUCGAUGCACGUGUCUCUCCUGGUCGGGCCUUAGUGCUCUGCCGAUGGCGAUCUGAGGAUUUAAAUCUGCGAGGCUCUGUAGAUAACCGAUCACACAUUGGGUUAAACGCUCUUGAGCGAUGACGUACUGGACAAGGUUGGCCAGGACCGGGUCUCUCUCAAUUUGUCCACCAGGAAAAGAUGUCACUCCUCCAGGUGCUGCACGGCUCGGGAAGUAAUAAUACCCUCGUUCGCUGGCAUAGGGUACCGCGAAUCGAAGGCGAGCAAGCACUUCGUAUGCAACAGCUUCUAUGGCCAUAUGUGGGGUUGUCAUAGAUUUCCCCACAAAGGAGACCUCCGUUGGAUCUUGGUUUGAGUCUACGGGAGGGAUGUGUACUGCUGCCCAAUAUCUCGAGGUGGAAGGGGUGAUCCUUGAUUUGAACAGCUUGUACUGGGGUGGCUGGGUAGCGCCCAUGGUACUGCAGGUAAAAUCCCACAAUAUUUUGACAAAACUACCCUGGGUUGCAUCUGGGGUUCUCAGGUAAAUGCUGGGGGUCGACAUGGCAAGAAAUGGUUGUGAGGGUGGUGCACAAGGUGAGAGGUGCUUGGCAAGGUCACAUGGUGGCCUUUUUAUAUCACCGGAGCUGGGUCAUUUUACCGUGGUGAAUGGUAAUAAAAUUUCCAGCUCUGCUCCACGGGUUGGGGUCAAGCCACAGAUACACUAAUGUGAUGUGUUACUGUGGGGGUUGUCGGAGAGGUUUUUGGUAACUGUGCCUUGGAUAGAAAUUUAUACUGCAUGCUGUCAUAUCCAUGUAAGGCUACAGAGGCACAACGACAGGUGGCGUUUAUUUACAAGGUCACACGAUUACAAAGUGAGGAUACACUGGGACUCGACACUACUCGAGAGACUUAGUCUACCUCGUUUACAUCCAAGCGGGUGUGCCUUGUGGAUGUUGAGGCUUCUCCACGGGUCUCGUCGUCGGGAUUAGCUGGAGUGGGUUGAGGGGCUGCAGGCUCGGGGUAGCGAUGAGGACCAUCUCGGGGAUUGUUGGCCACAACCCCGUUGGAGUGUGUUCCCAAUAUGCGACGAAGCACUUCUGGGGUUAUCGCAGCACCUUGGCCGAUGGCUGGGGCAGGCCUCAGGGACUCGAUCGGGUGUCCAAACAGCACGACUGGGUUGUCGGUGUUGGGCUCGUUCUCUUCUCUCGCCGGGGCUCGACGAACCAGCUCUCCACGAGCUGCGAUUAGAUCAAUAGUGAUUUGAUCGCACAGUUCCUCUAGUGCACUUACAUAGCGCACUAGGUGCAACAAUGCAGGAUCUGUCUUGUGAUCUCCGUUGGCAACUUGGGAUGGUCUGCCAUACCCUUCACGUCUGGGGUAGUAGUGGAACGAGCGACAGUUUACUCUGGGCGACAAGUGCCGGAGAUGAACUAUAGCUUCUCGAGCAGCUAGUUGGAUGGCUUGUGGCUCAAAGGAAGUCGUUCUUCCGGUGAACCUGUAGGGGCGUUCGGGUGCUAGACCCCUACCGUAGAUGUGUACAGUGGCCCAGAAUUGACGGUUCUCACUGCUCAUGGGUCCUUGGUACACAACAUAUACUGGGGGCUCUUCUAACGCAUAGGCACGACGGGUGAGGUUUGCGAGUAUGGUCACAAAGCCUCCAAGGUUGGUUGCCGUGGUCUCAUUGUGCACGACAGGGCCAGGCAUUGUACCUUGGUUUGGGGUAGAGGCUGUGCUGUGCUGUGUUGGGGCUAGCAUGCCCCUUUUUAUAGGAAAAAGGGGACGGAGUCUUCCUUUGCACGCUUGCGAGAAAGGACUAUUUAAGAUUCGAUCACUGGCGCAUGAGCGAUAGGUUAGCUUGAUAGGUUGGGCACCGACUGCCAAAAGGUGUUGGGUCACUAUGUGGCUAUCUGGCACGAGAAGCUUGGCUGGGGUUUGGUUAUGGUUUGGUGGGUUGGUUUGCCUAAGUUUAUAUACCCGGCUAAGAUAGGAUAAGCCAAUGGUCAGCCUGGCUCUGAUACCAAGUCUGUCACGACCGGUUUCUCCGGACAUUGAUUUCCAGAAAAUGGCCGUCGUGCUCACCAGCCCCAGGAUUACUGUUAGCUGACGAGGCACCAACUUGAUACAGAAAUUCCAAGCAAAAAUACAAAAUAUGUAGUACAAGACCAUUGUGGCCUAUGAGUACGUCAAAUGGUUUCUAGUGGUUGAUGGCGGAAGCGGUUUGUGGGUCAUCAGUGUCUAUGGGACUCCAUUUCCCACAGGAACAGCUGACCAGGUUAACUCCUAUCUUCACGAGGCUGCUAUCACCGUUGCUUAGUUUCCGGGGAUGUCACCGCAACGCUCCUCUCCAAGCAGAAAUCUGGCCAAGACAAUAGCCAGGGACAAGCCAGUGAGUACUUUGAAUGUACUCGCAAACAUUAAGAACACAGGUAUAAUAUAAUUGAUAAUCAUGCACUGAAAAAUUCCAUGAUCACAUCGUCAGUCAUAAAUAAAGCAUCUUUUAUGCAUGCAAGCAGGUUAUUUUCAUGCAACAUGAAAAAGCAGUAAUAGAGUGGGAAUAAAAUGCCGCAGUCGGGCGUCUGAGCUACACCACAUAAAGGGCUUUAAAAGAAAUGCCACACUCGGGCGUCUGAGCGACACCACAUAAAGGGCUUUAAAAGAAAUGCCACAGUCGGGCGUCUGAGCGACACCACAUAAAGGGCUUAUAAGAGAAAUGCCACAGUCGGGCGUCUGAGCGACACCACAUAAAGGGCUUUAAAAGAAAUGCCACAGUCGGGCGUCUGGGCGACACCACAUAAAGGGCUUAUAAGAGAAAUGCCACAGUUGGGCGUCUCAGCGACACCACAUAAAGGGCUUAUAAAAUAAAUAAUCACAAUGAAUAUCCAGGAGGUAGAACCGUCCCAGGGAUACUCGAUAAUACAGAUAAUGCAACGGGUUAGUCCAUCACAAAAUAAUAAUCAUGGUCCUCACAAGUAACUAGUCGGUAUCCAAGUGUGGUUUAACAAUAUCUCCUCCGAAGACCGACACUAAGACCAACACUUGACCCAUCCCAGACUGUAAUCCUUAACCAUGGACACGGCUAUUCGAAUAGGUUUAAUCUCUACAGAGGGUGUACUCUUUACCCACGAGUAACGGAUUCCUUUAGUCCGUCGGGACUAAUUCCGUCUACGGACUUUUAGUUGAAAACACGCCUAACUUGCACACACCAGCUUAACUCAUCGGUGUCUGGAAUCACCCACGACACUUGUUAAGCAAAACUCUAAGUGGGGAGGCUACAACUUCGCGUAGCAUGGGAUCAAAUUUAUAUCGCGCGCUCUAAGGGGUGGACUCCCCUCUCGGUCCCAACCGGAAACACCCAUGCCCCCGGACCAGGUGGCCUGCCUACCGGCUACAACCGGUAUCUUCCACCAUGGCCUCUCUGUAUGCUUUGUGCUUGAAAGGGGUUGACGACUUACUGAACCGUACCCAACCUGCGGCAGGGACAAGUGGUAGUACAAAACAAGUAUGGGUGUUACUGGAACAAAACUCGAUCUACGGUCGACUCAGGAGGUUUAUAAGUUCCCUGCAUGACAUGUAUAUCAAAUAUAUUUCAACCGACGAAAUCACCACCCAUUAUACCUUACUAUGCCAUACCGGACAUAACCGUCCCGACGGGGACCGGCGACAAGCUCACUCCUACCCAAGGCAGAGGCUUUCCCGGAUUCCUUUCCGGCAUGCAUGCAAGGCACAUGAGGAUGAUUACCAUCACAAGUAUAUUCAUUUCCAACAGCAAGGAAAUCACUAUAUGCAUUCAUGUAAAUGAUCAUAUCACAUGAAAUAACAAGUUCUCCGAUAUAAGGUGGUGUUAUAAACGUGUCAACUAACACACCAAAAAAUAUUAUUCCGGGGUUCAGAAUGCUUUCCUUCAAUGGUGUGGAAAGGCAGGGUGCACUCCAAAACUUUUGAAAGCUUUCUUCUCUUCCAAAAUCCUAUUUUCAAAAAUAUGCAAAUAACACAUAUUUCAAAAACAGUACAAAAAAGUUGUUUGGAAAAUUUUCAAAUAAAUCUUAAAAUAAACUAGACAGAAUUUGAGAGGUGUAGGAAAAAGAAUCAAUUCAUUUGGAGUUAUAUUUAAAAAGUUAAGCUCAGUCAAAGUUUUGGUCAAAAUCUGUUAUUUAAAAUUAAAACAGAAAAAGAAAAACGUUUCGAAUAUACGUACACGUCGAAGGAGUACUCUGGAAAUACGCCUCCACUUAUCCAGCGUGGACUGCGCGUGGGUCACCGACAGUGGGCCCGCCUGGCCCACUGGUCAGGUUUGACUGGUCCACGCGCGCGUCGUCUCUCCCUGACCGAACAGAGGCGGAGCUCCGGCGAGGCUCGCCGGCGAAUGGCGGCGUCCCUCGGUGAUCUGAGCGCAUGGGCGUGCUCAGGAGGUCGAGACGAACUCGGGGGUACCCGCCAUGGUCGCCGACGUGGACGGAGUUGCCGGCGACGAGCUUCGUGGCAGAGAUGGCUUCGGGGGCGAAGUGAGUUUGGGGCUGCGGUGGUUCCCGAUCAAAAUCGAGCAGGGGAACGAGUUCACGGGAGGAUGAGAAGGUUCCUGGUGAAGAGAACGGAGAGGGGGAGGCCCUGGUGGUGCCGGAAUGGCCGGGGCAGUGGUGGCAGCUGCGGUUGCCGGAGAUGGGAAAGGAGACCUCCCCGGGUCGAAUGCGAGCUAGGGGAGCGCCAUUGGGGUGGCCUGAGGUUGCCUGCGUGCUCGGGGGAGUUCGGGGACCUCCUUUUAUAGCGCGACGAGGUCGGUUCCGCGGCGGUGGAUGAGGAUGUUGGCGAACCGCCUCUCUGUAGCUUGCAGGGCGACGUGGAGGUGACGAGAGCUAGCCGACGAGCGAGGAGAUAAGAUCGUGCGGCUCCCAGGGGCAAGUGGCGAGCCGGGGUGGCUUGGGCGGCGCUGCCCAUGGCGGUGGCGGAUGCAGCCGCGGGCAUGCCGCCAAGCGGCUCUGACGGCGGUGCUGCAGGGCACCAGGGCCUGCUUGGUGUGUUGCGGUGAGAGGGAGAGUGCGUGGCGCGGCUCUCUGGUGCGGGAAAAACUAGGGGCACGACGUGGUGACUCGGGCGCGGCUCGUGCAAAACGCGCGCUCUGCUCGCGGCCAGAGCACGCACCGAACGUGCUCGACGAAAUGCUAAAGCAUUCUAGAGGUCGCGAUUGAGGCUGGGAAGAAACAGGGCUAGGUUAGGGUUAGUUAGAGGGUGAAUGGACCUGGUGGUUAGGUCAGGUGGCCAUGUUCACAAUGUCAACUUGAAUCCAUGCCAAAUCUGGCUAUGCACACAGGGUGUUUGUCGAAAUGCCAAGGGCAUCUAGGCAAUACUUGGGGUGGCCAAAAUCUCUAGAUCAAGGUCUCCUUAUAUGCAAGAGAGAGUGGUGAGGUCAUUUGGACAAAAGGAGAAACUUGCUAGUGCAAGUUUUGCUGAACUUCAAUUCUGGGCAGGAGAUAGAUGGCAUCAUUUCAUGAACUAAAAAUGAUCCAAUAAGUGCAUGCUCCUGGACUUAGGGGUUUUGCAGGGAGGACUAUAAGUAGGAAAAAGAAUCAAGAGCUAAAGAGCAAGCAAGAAUAUGGUUGUUGUACAAACCAUCAUGUUGGACCAGAAUGGAGAUGAGGUUGUUUCACUCAAAAUUUUCAAAUAACAUCACUGGGUUUUUGCAUAAAGUUGAAUCAUAUGCUACUACCAACAUCCCAUAAUUUUGGUGGAGGCCAGAAAGAAAUAUUUAAAAGGGUUUUAGUGCAAAAUUCCACUCUGGACCAGAGAAGAAAAAUUGAUGCAGAGCUCAAAAUAUUACAUGAAUAAAAGAUAUUUUCGUAUAGAAGUGAUUUAAAAACAUCACAUGACAUCUCCAAAUUUUGGUUGGAAUUUUAGGUGAAUUUAUCAAAUGGUUGUAGUUCAAUUAUGGCCAUAUAACCUUGGAAAACCAUUUUUCAAGAAAAUAAAGAUUAAGCAAAUUAAUUAUGUAAUUAGUUAUACUGAUAAAAGAAAAGUUUUUCUUGAGAGGUUAAACAAGUCCAAUAACAUAUUCGAAAUGUUUUCAUUUUAGGGAACAACUCAAUGAUAAUAAGAAAGGAAAUGUUUAAAAAAAUCAAAAGGGAGUCCAAAAAACAAAGUUUUAAUUCCUGGCAGAAAUUUUAAUUUAAUAAAACAAGGCCAAAAAUUUGGGGUGUCACAACACUACCCCCCUUAAGAAAAAUCUCGUCCUUGAGAUUUGUUAAAAGCUGUUUUAAGAAAAACUAUACGCAAUAAAAAUGUGGCUACAGUGAGAGGGCAAUAAGUGGUGAAAAACCACAGUGUGAAUUUUAGACUAUGUUCAUGAUAAUUAAGUUCAUAUAAUCAAAUUAUUUAAUGAACUCCCACUCAGAUAGACAUCCCUCUAGUCAUCUAAGUGAUACAUGAUCUGAGUCAACUAGGUCGUGUCCGAUCAUCACGUGAGACAGACUAGUCAUCAUCGGUGAACAUCUUCAUGUUGAUCGUAUCUUCUAUACGACUCAUGUUCGACCUUUCGGUCUUUCGUGUUCCGAGGCCAUGUCUGUACAUGCUAGGCUCGUCAAGUCAACCUAAGUGUAUUGCGUGUGUAAAUCUGGCUUACACCCGUUGUAUGCGAACGUUAGAACCUAUCACACCCGAUCAUCACAUGGUGCUUCGGAACAAUGGACCUUAGCAACGGUGCACAGUUAGGGGGAACAUUUUCUUGAAAUUAUUGCGAGGGAUCAUCUUAUUUAUGUUCUAAGAAAAUAAGAUGUAAAACAUGAUAAACAUCACAUGCAAUCAAAUAGUGACAUGAUAUGGCCAAUAUCAUUUUGCUCCUUUUGAUCUCCAUCUUCGGGGUGCCAUGAUCAUCAUUGUCACCGGCAUGACACCAUGACCUCCAUUAUCAUGAUCUCCAUCAUCAUGUCUUCAUGAAGUUGUCAAAUCAACUAUUAGUUCUACUACUAUGGCUAAUGGUUAGCGAUAAGGUUAAGUAAUUACAUGACGUUUAUGUUGACACGCAGGUCAUAAAUAAAUUAAGACAACUCCUAUGGCUCCUGCCGGUUGUCAUACUCAUCGACAUGCAAGUCGUGAUUCCUAUUAAAAGAACAUGAUCAAUCUCAUACAUCACAUAUAUCAUUAAUUGCAUCCUUUUGGCCAUAUCACAUCACACGACAUAUGCUGCAAGAACAAGUUAGACGUCCUCUAAUUGUUGUUGCAAGUUUUUACGUGGCUGCUAUAGGUUUCUAGCAAGAACGUUUCUUACCUACGCCAAAACCAGAAAAUUAUAUGCCAAUUUCUAUUUACCCUUCAUAAGGACCCUUUUCAUCGAAUCCGAUCCGACUAAACUGGGAGAGACAGACACCCGCUAGCCACCUUAUGCAACUAGUGCAUGUCAGUCGGUGGAACCAGUCUCACGUAAGCGUACGUGUAAGGUCGGUCCGGGCCGCUUCAUCCCACGACGCCUCCGAAUCAAGAUAAGACUAGUAACGGCAAGUAAAUUGACAAAAUUGACGCCCACAACAACUUGUGUUCUACUUGUGCAUAGAAACUACGCAUAAACCUGGCUCAUGAUGACAAUGUUGGGGAUCGUUGCAGAAAUUAAAAAAUUUCUACGCAUCACCAAGAUCAAUCUAUGGAGUAACUAGCAACAAGAGAGAAGGGGGUGCAUCUUCAUACCCUUGAAGAUUGCGAGUCGGAAGCGUUGCAAGAACGCGGUUGGAGGAGUUGUACACGUAGCGAUUCAGAUCGCGGCCGAAUCCGAUCUAAGCACCGAACAACGGCGCCUCCGUGUUCAACACACGUGCAGCCCAGUGACGUCUCCCGCGCCUUGAUCCAGCAAGGAGGAGGGAGUGGUUGAGGAAGAAGGCUCGAAUAGCAGCACGACGGCAUGGUGGUAAUGGAGUGGCAGUUCUCCGGCAGGGCUUCGCCAAGCUCACGCAAAGGAGGAGAGGUGUUGGGGAGGGGAGGGGAUGCGCCUUGGAUGUGGUGUUGCAGCCCUCCCCUCGCCCCUCUAUUUUUAGGGAGAAGGGGGAAGGGGGCCGGCCCCUCUAGAUGAGAUCUAAAGGGGGGCGGCGGCCAUGGGGGAGGGGGCUUGCCGCCCAAGCAAGGGUUGCACCCCCCUUUAGGGUUCCCCCCAAACCGUAGGCGCAUGGGCCCUAGGGUGGGAUGGCGCACAGCCCACUAGGGGCUGGUUCCCUUCCACCUACAGCCCAUAAGGCCCUCCGGGGAAGGUGGACCCUCCCGGUGGACCCCCGGAACCCCUCCCGGUGGACCCCUGGAACCCCUCCGGUGGUCCCGGUACAAUACCGCAUACCCCCGAAUAUUUCCGGUGACCGUAUGAUGACUUCCCAUAUAUAAAUCUUCACCUCCGGACUAUUCCGGAACUCCUCGUGACAUCCGGGAUCUCAUCCGUGACUCUGAACAACAUUCGGUAAUCACAUACAAAUCUUCCUAAUAACCCUAGUGUCAUCGAACCUUAAGUGUGUAGACCCUACGGGUUCAGGAACCAUGCAGACAUGACCGAGACAACUCUCCGGCCAAUAACCAAUAGCGGGAUCUGUAUACCCAUGUUGGCUCCCACAUGUUCCACGAUGAUCUCAUCGGAUGAACCACGAUGUCGAGGAUUCAAGCAAUCAUGUAUACAAUUCCCUUUGUCAAUCGGUACGUUACUUGCCCGAGAUUCGAUCGUCGGUAUCCCAAUACCUCGUUCAAUCUCAUUACCGGCAAGUCACUUUACUCAUUCCGUAACACAUCAUCCCGUGACCAACCCUUUAGUCACAUUGAGCUCAUUACGAUGAUGUCUUACCGAGUGGGCCCAGAGAUACUUAUCCGUCAUACGGAGUGACAAAUCCCAGUCUCGAUUCGUGCCAACCCAACAGACACUUUCGGAGAUACCCGUAGUGCACCUUUAUAGCCACCCAGUUACGUUGUGACGUUUGGCACACCCAAAGUAUUCCUACAGUAUCCGGGAGUUGCACAGUCUCAUGGUCUAAGGAAAAGAUACUUGACAUUAGAAAAGCUCUAGCAGACGAACUACACGAUCUUGUGCUAUGCUUAGGAUUGGGUCUUGUCCAUCACAUCUUUCCCUAAAUGAUGUGAUCCCAUUAUCAAUGACAUCCAAUGUCCAUAGUCAGGAAACCAUGACCAUUUGUUGAUCAACGAGCUAGUCAACUAGAGGAUCACUAGGGACAUGUUGUUGUCUAUGUAUUCACACAUGUAUCACGAUUUCCGGAUAAUACAAUUAUAGCAUGAACAAUAGACAAUUAUCAUGAACAAGGAAAUAUAAUAAUAACCAUUUUAUUAUUGCCUCUAGGGCAUAUUUCCAACACCAGGAGACUUGGAGUGGCCGUCAAGAAAUAAGGGAGGAAGGCACGAGGCACGGGGGCGCGCCUACCCCCCUGGGCACUCCCUUCACCCUCGUGGGCCCUCUGUUGCUCCACCGACGUAUUUCUUCCUCCUAUAUAUAUAUUUACACGUACCCCCCCCCCCUAAACAUCCAGGAGCACCAUGAAAACCUAAUUCCACCGCCNNNNNNNNNNNNNNNNNNNNNNNNNNNNNNNNNNNNNNNNNNNNNNNNNNNNNNNNNNNNNNNNNNNNNNNNNNNNNNNNNNNNNNNNNNNNNNNNNNNNNNNNNNNNNNNNNNNNNNNNNNNNNNNNNNNNNNNNNNNNNNNNNNNNNNNNNNNNNNNNNNNNNNNNNNNNNNNNNNNNNNNNNNNNNNNNNNNNNNNNNNNNNNNNNNNNNNNNNNNNNNNNNNNNNNNNNNNNNNNNNNNNNNNNNNNNNNNNNNNNNNNNNCGAGAGAUCCCAUCUCGAGGCCUUUUCCAGAGCUCCGCCAGAGGGGGCAUUGAUCACGGAGGGCCUCUACAUCAACUACAUGGCCUCUCUGGUGAUGUGUGAGUAGUUUACUUCAGACCUACGGGUCCAUAGUUAUUAGCUAGAUGGCUUCUUCUCUCUCUUUGGAUCUCAAUACAAAGUUCUCCUCGAUUUUCUUGGAGAUCUAUUCGAUGUAAUCUUCUUUUGCGGUGUGUUUGUCGAGUUUCGAUGAAUUGUGGGUUUAUGAUCCAGAUUAUCUAUGAACAAUAUUUGAUUCUCCUCUGAAUUAUUUUAUGUAUGAUUGGUUUAUCUUUGCAAGUCUCUUCGAAUUAUCAGUUUGGUUUGGCCUACUAGAUUGAUCUUUCUUGCAAUGGGAGAAGUGCUUAGCUUUGGGUCAAUCUUGCGGUGCUCGAUCCCAGUGACAGAAAGGGAACCGACACGUAUUGUAUUGUUGCCAUCGAGGAUAAAAAGAUGGGGUUUAUAUCAUAUUGCAUGAGUUUAUCCCUCUACAUCAUGUCAUCUUCCUUAAAGCAUUACUCUGUUCUUAUGAACUUAAUACUCUAGAUGCAUGCUGGAUAGCGGUCGAUGUGUGGAGUAAUAGUAGUAGAUGCAGAAUCAUUUCGGUAUACUUGUCUCGGGUGUGAUGCCUAUAUACAUGAUCAUACCUAGAUAUUCUCAUAACUAUGCUCAAUUCUAUCAAUUGCUCGACAGUAAUUCGUUUACCCACUAUAAUACUUAUGCUCUUGAGAGAAGCCACUAGUGAAACCUAUGGCCCCCGGGUCUAUCUUUCAUCAUAUUAAUCUUCCAAUACUUAGUUAUUUCCUUUGCCAUUUAUUUUACUUUGCAUCUUUAUCAUAAAAAUACCAAAAAUAUUAUGUUAUCAUAUCUAUCAGAUCUUUGUCUCGUAAGUGACCGUGAAGGGCUUGACAACCCCUUUAUCGCAUUGGUUGCGAGGUUCUUAUUUGUUUGUGUAGGUGCAUGGGACUUGAGCGUGAUCUCCUACUGGAUUGAUACCUUGGUUCUCAAAAACUGAGGGAAAUACUUACGCUACUUUGUUGCAUCACCCUUUCCUCUUCAAGGGAAAAACAACGCAGUGCUUAAGAGGUAGCAGGCCAAACUCGCGACGCCGAAGUACGCUGUAAAAGUUGUUCGGACUUUGUUGGCAACUCAUUUGUUCCCAUACCGAGCCCCUAGCAAGUUAAGCCGGGGUAUGUUUGUGAAACAACCAUGGGAGGCGUAUUUAUUUGCAGAAAGACGUGGGUAAUUAAUUCGGAUAGUGUGAACUGGGACCCCCUCUAAAAUUCCAUAAAAGGCCAAUCAUUUUUCCCAUAAAGGUGUGUGAGUUCUUCUGCCAGGUCUACCCUAGGCCAUAUGUUAGCACUUGCAGCUAAAUUUGGUUUCGAUUUCUCCAGUUCCCUCACCACAUUAAUGAAGGAAAAUUAAUUAUCAGAAAUUUCAACACCACACAUAGUUAAAACACAAUGGAACAAAAAAUACAGUACAGUUUCUAUACUGAUUGGUAACUUAGCUCCAAAACUGGAGCACGCUAUGCAGAGCUAACUAGAUAAAGUCGAUCGAGCCAAGCUUCGUAAUACCAAGCUUCUCUUGAGCCAUGCAAUUACAUCAGUGACUUGAGCGAUCGAGCUUUAACAGGCUUCCUCCACCUCGUCUUGAACGGGCUCUUCAUCGUGACAAUGUUGCGCAGUUGUUUGCCAUUGUAACCAAGUGUGUCGUUGUUGCUGCUGUCCUCAUCGCAGCUGACAAUGUUGGAAUUGCUCCCAUUGAGCCUAGGCUUCUCGACCUGUGUUGAUGUCGGCAGAGCCUGAUGAUCAGUUACAUUAGCUUGGCUUGCACUAAAAUCAAAUUGUGUUUGGGUGCAUGCCUCAUCUUUCUGUUGUUCAAUGGGUAGUGGAGGUUAUUCCAGCACACUAGUGCCACCGCUUGAUCUGCGAUGCCUCUUGGAGCUGCGUGAGGGGCACAAACCUAUCGUAGUAGUAGAACGCCUCACCCAUGUCAACGAUGGGCCUCUUCUUUUGUGGCCUUUUGCCAUCCCUCUUCUUGCAUGUCCUCACUCCCUUCUUCACUUUGAUCCCCUUAUUCGUCUUUGACUUGCUCUCAUUCUCCUUCCCCUCCAUCGCUUUCAUAGCCAUGUUGAGGUCCCCAUCGACCAUAUCUACAGUCGUCUUCUCCUUGAUGGAGCCAAUGGGCAUGCUGAUACUGGAUGGGAAGAGCCAACUAGCUCGUCUGAUAGUUCUGAAGUAAGUCUUCUCGAAGCGUUCCUCCACCUGAAUGAGAUGGUAAUUUGGAAAAUACUUCUCAAGGAUAAAAAGAGCUAGCACUAGUAGUAAAAUGAACUGAAAUGGGGUAUAGUCAAGUACUCCGUGCGUUCGGAAAUACUUGUUGGUGAAAUGGAUACAAAUGAAAGUAUCUAGAACUAAAAUACGUCUAGAUACAUCCAUUUCUCCGAUAAGUAUUUUCGAACGGAGGGAGUACUAUCGUAUGCAGAAAGGAACCUAAUAGCCCGCAAACAUUCGCUGGGAGGAUGACAAUUUCUUCCGAAACAUGUGACAACUUAUGGGAAGAAGGGAAAAAAUGCGGCAAAAAAGGCAGGAUUUGCCAUCUCCCACCACGUAAACUUGCCACACAAAAAUGUUCGCUUGUCACCCCCUUCCCAGCUGACAUUUACCAGAUAACAUAUCCCAUGUAGGAUUGCAGAUUAUUUUGGUUAAAUUCAUGUUCAAUAUGUACCUAUAUCUAGGUAAAAAAAUUGAACUCAAUUUGAUUUUAAGUUGCAUCUGAAAUUUUCCUAGUAAUACUAGUAACCGCGGUAACCAAGCAUAUCUCGCCACCCCACAAGAAAAAAAAUCUCCAUUCCUAAUCUAAAACAUUGGGCAAGAUCCAUGGCCGAUCUUGCUGCCAUUGCCACGCCAGCGCGGCCACCUACCAGCCACAUAUUACAGCGAGAUCGCGCGUGGUAACUACAGGACCUUGACGCAACACCAUUUACUUGGUAACGCACCUGGCAGAGGAAAGCUAGGUUAAACACGUUGGGUGCUGCAUAGAAACAAGCGGCGGCGUGCAAAUCUUCGACACACACAUACAUACAACAAGCACCAAGCAAGUAGCGGGAAGGCAGGAAAGUGAGAUGGAGCGAGUGGGGCGAAAUUACCUCGGGAUCCGAGUGGUCGAUCUUAGCCAUGAGUUCCCAUGGCGACCUGCUGAGCUCGCAGCAAGGCUGCCCGCAAGAGGAGGCCUCGGCACUAUUAGAAAAGGGGGCUUUGGUCCAGGCCGGGUAAUCCCAUUAGUCCCGGUUCAGUCCAGAACCGGGACCAAUGGGUGCAUUUAUCCCGAUUCGUAGGCAUUAGUCCCGGUUCACCUGGGCCCUUUAGUCCCGGUUCGUGCCACGAACCGGGACUAAAGGGUGCGAAGCCCAUUAGUCCCGGUUGGUGGCACCAACCAGGACUAAAGGUCUAACCUUUAGUACCGGUUGGUGCCACCAACCUGGACUAAUGGCCUUUGAGGCAUNNNNNNNNNNNNNNNNNNNNNNNNNNNNNNNNNNNNNNNNNNNNNNNNNNNNNNNNNNNNNNNNNNNNNNNNNNNNNNNNNNNNNNNNNNNNNNNNNNNNNNNNNNNNNNNNNNNNNNNNNNNNNNNNNNNNNNNNNNNNNNNNNNNNNNNNNNNNNNNNNNNNNNNNNNNNNNNNNNNAAAAAACAAAAGAAAAUGAUGGAAAUGUCAAUAAAAUAAAAUAAAAUAAGUUUCCCAUGUGAUAUGUGGUCUAGUUGUUGGGAAAAUUUACAAAUAUAAAUUUCGACUUUAUUUACAAAUAUGAAUUUCGACUUUAUUUGUAAAAUGGGCAUAACUUUUGCAUACAAACUCGGAUUAAAAAGCUUUAAGCAAGAUGACAUGAUGUAGAGAGAUAAAUUCAUGCAAUAUGAAAUAAACCCCAUCUUGUUAUCCUCGAUGGCAAUGAUACAAUACGUGUCUUGCUGCCCCUUCUGUCACUGGGAAAGAACACCGCAAGAUCGAACCCAAAGCUAAGCACUUCUCCCAUGGCAAGAACUACCAAUCUAGUUGGCCAAACCAAACGGAUAAUUCGAAGAGACUUGCAAAGAUAACCAAUCAUACAUAAAAGAAUUCAGAGAAGAUUCAAAUAUUGUUCAUAGAUAGACUUGAUCAUAAACCCACAAUUCAUCGGUCUCAACAAACACACCGCAAAAGAAGAAGAUUACAUCAAAUAGAUCUCCACAAGAGAGGGGGAGAACAUUGUAUUGAGAUCCAAAAAGAGAGAAGAAGCCAUCCAGAUACUAACUAUGGACCCGAACGUCUGAGGUAAACUACUCACACUUCAUUGGAGGGGCUAUGAUGAUGUAGAAGCCCUCCGUGAUGACGGCCCUCUCCGGCGGAGCUCCGGAACAGGCCCCAAGAUGGGAUCUCGUGGAUACAGAAAGUUGCGGCGGUGGAAUUAGGUUUUUGGCUCAUGUUUUGAUCGUUUGGGGUACGUGGGUAUAUAUAGGAGGAAGGAGUACGUCGGUGGAGCACCGAGGGGCCCACGAGGCUGGGGGCGCGCCCUGUAGGGGGGGGGCGGCCCCUACUCUCGUGAACGCCUCUGGUACUUUUUGGAGUAGGGUCCAAGUCUCCUGGGUCUUAUCCAAGAAGAAAAUCACAUUCCAAAAAGGAUUUUUCUGUUUAGACUCCGUUUGAUAUUCUGUUUCUUCGAAACACUGAAAUAGGCAAAAAACUGCAAUUCUGGCUGGGCCUCCGGUUAAUAGGUUAGUCCCAAAAAUAAUAUAAAAGUGGAAAAUAAAGCCCAAUAUAGUCCAAAACAGUAGAUAAUAUAGCAUGGAGCAAUCAAAAAUUAUAGAUACGUUGGAGACGUAUCAAGCUUCUACUUUUGAACAAAGUAAAAUGCAAUGCACAUAGAUAGACAUGCAUCGUAGGCAAUACUUGUUUCUAAGUUAGCUAAGCAUAAUCUGUUGUUUAAUCCAAAUUGUGUUAUCAAAAGUUGCGCAGAAUGUGUUCUGGUCUUGCUUCAUGGAUUAGUUUUCUCAUAAAACUAAUGUGCCUGGACAACAGUUUGCUCCACUAAUGUUAUAUCUCUCUCAUUGUAGGAUGGCAAGUUGUGGCAGCUGGAGCAUGUCGCAUAAGAGAGAGCAAUGAAAUCCAUUGUAUUGUUCCUUUAAAAAAAGUACAUUGUGUUGUUAUGAUAGUAGCAGAUGUGCCAUC
rnacentral:lncRNA from 1 species